rnacentral:rRNA from 1 species
CCUACGGGAGGCAGCAGUGAGGAAUAUUGGUCAAUGGGCGGAAGCCUGAACCAGCCAAGUCGCGUGAGGGAAUAAGGCCCUACGGGUCGUAAACCUCUUUUGCCGGGGAGUAAGGGCGGGGACGUGUCACGGCACGGAGAGUACCCGGAGAAAAAGCAUAGGCUAACUCCGUGCCAGCAGCCGCGGAAAUACGGAGGAUGCGAGCGUUAUCAGGAUUGAUUGGGUUAAAAGGGUGCGUAGGCGGGCUUUUAAGUCAGCGGUAAAAAUUCGGGGCUCAACCCCGUCCGGCCGUUGAAACUGGGGGCCUUGAGUGGACGAGAAGCAGGCGGAAUGCGUGGUGUAGCGGUGAAAUGCAUAGAUAUCACGCAGAACCCCGAUUGCGAAGGCAGCCUUCCGGCGCCCUACUGACGCUGAGGCACGAAAGUGCGGGGAUCGAACAGGAUUAGAUACCCCUGUAGUC